ACGUCAUCCCACCUGGGGAGUACGUUCGCAAGAAUGAAACUCAAAGGAAUUGACGGGGGCCCGCACAAGCGGUGGAGCAUGUGGUUCAAUUCGAAGCAACGCGAAGAACCUUACCAACUUUUGACAUGUCCCGUAUGGGUUUCAGAGAUGAGAUCCUUCAGUUCGGCUGGCGGGAACACAGGUGCUGCAUGGCUGUCGUCAGCUCGUGUCGUGAGAUGUUGGGUUAAGUCCCGCAACGAGCGCAACCCUCGGCCUUAGUUGCCAUCAUUUAGUUGGGCACUCUAAGGCGACUGCCGGUGAUAAGCCGGAGGAAGGUGGGGAUGACGUUUACCGACAGCU
rnacentral:misc_RNA from 1 species